rnacentral:rRNA from 1 species
GACGAACGCUGGCGGCGUGCUUAACACAUGCAAGUCGAACGGAAAGGCCCUGCUUUUGUGGGGUGCUCGAGUGGCGAACGGGUGAGUAACACGUGAGUAACCUGCCCUUGACUUUGGGAUAACUUCAGGAAACUGGGGCUAAUACCGUAUAGGAGCUCCUGCUGCAUGGUGGGGGUUGGAAAGUUUCGGCGGUUGGGGAUGGACUCGCGGCUUAUCAGCUUGUUGGUGGGGUAGUGGCUUACCAAGGCUUUGACGGGUAGCCGGCCUGAGAGGGUGACCGGCCACAUUGGGACUGAGAUACGGCCCAGACUCCUACGGGAGGCAGCAGUGGGGAAUAUUGCACAAUGGGAGGAAGCCUGAUGCAGAAACGCCGCGUGCGGGAUGACGGCCUUCGGGUUGUAAACCGCUUUCGCCUGUGACGAAGCGUGAGUGACGGUAAUGGGUAAAGAAGCACCGGCUAACUACGUG